rnacentral:rRNA from 1 species
CCUACGGGAGGCAGCAGUAGGGAAUCUUCCACAAUGGACGCAAGUCUGAUGGAGCAACGCCGCGUGAGUGAAGAAGGUUUUCGGAUCGUAAAGCUCUGUUGUUGGUGAAGAAGGAUAGAGGCAGUAACUGGCCUUUAUUUGACGGUAAUCAACCAGAAAUCACGGCUAACUAACUGCCCCNNNC